GGAGGAGGUAAGUGCAACUGUGCGGAAGCCUUCCACCACACUUCCAGCAGCUUGAAAGGGAUGAGGGGAAUCCUCAGUGCUGCUUGAGAAGCAGGAUAACUAAAGCAAAGAGAAGCAAUGGCAAGGAGGAAGCAGGACCAUCAGGUACAGAAAGGACCGUGCAUCCAACCACUUUGGUAGAGGCCUCCUCUUCUUCUUCAAGUGACAACAGCGCAGCAGAAGAUGUGGAGUAUCAGCCACCUGCCCAUCGUCUACAGACUGCUCCAAGCCCCGUGAAGAGCACGGUUGCCUCU